ACGGGUGAGUAACACGUGGGUAACCUGCCUGUAAGACUGGGAUAACUCCGGGAAACCGGAGCUAAUACCGGAUAGUUCCUUGAACCGCAUGGUUCAAGGAUGAAAGACGGUUUCGGCUGUCACUUACAGAUGGACCCGCGGCGCAUUAGCUAGUUGGUGAGGUAACGGCUCACCAAGGCGACGAUGCGUAGCCGACCUGAGAGGGUGAUCGGCCACACUGGGACUGAGACACGGCCCAGACUCCUACGGGAGGCAGCAGUAGGGAAUCUUCCGCAAUGGACGAAAGUCUGACGGAGCAACGCCGCGUGAGUGAUGAAGGUUUUCGGAUCGUAAAGCUCUGUUGUUAGGGAAGAACAAGUGCAAGAGUAACUGCUUGCACCUUGACGGUACCUAACCAGAAAGCCACGGCUAACUACGUGCCAGCAGCCGCGGUAAUACGUAGGUGGCAAGCGUUGUCCGGAAUUAUUGGGCGUAAAGGGCUCGCAGGCGGUUUCUUAAGUCUGAUGUGAAAGCCCCCGGCUCAACCGGGGAGGGUCAUUGGAAACUGGGAAACUUGAGUGCAGAAGAGGAGAGUGGAAUUCCACGUGUAGCGGUGAAAUGCGUAGAGAUGUGGAGGAACACCAGUGGCGAAGGCGACUCUCUGGUCUGUAACUGACGCUGAGGAGCGAAAGCGUGGGGAGCGAACAGGAUUAGAUACCCUGGUAGUCCACGCCGUAAACGAUGAGUGCUAAGUGUUAGGGGGUUCCGCCCCUUAGUGCUGCAGCUAACUGCAUAAGCACAC
rnacentral:rRNA from 1 species